AUGGGGGUACCAUUUUGGAACGGUUGGCGGCGCUGUCGUAGCUUUUCUUAGCGUUCUCGGCAACGAAAACAGAAUAUUCGCGUCAAAGGGUCACCUUAUUCGAGGAUUCUUUGUGUCGUCGUUAUUAUUUACCAGUGACUCGAACAAAAUAAACGUAUUUAAUAUUUAAAACGAAGAGGUUUCAUUCGUUUUCAAUAUUAUUUUUUCGGGUAUCCUUGUCCUUCUCGUCGUUCUCGCGUGAAAAAGAAAGGAGAAAGAUAAGGUGGACGACAUAGUAGAGGAGGAACAAAAAGAAAAGGACUCUGUUUUACCCUUGGAAUUAAAAAAAAAAAAAAGAAACAUUAUUUCCUUAAUGAAAUUUCUCGCCGAUAAUACGUAUCACAUUAAUUUUCCGAUGAUUAUUAAAAUAUCAUCGUAUCUCGAUUGGAAAUUUUCUUAUUUUUCCUUUUACCGUCUUCCCAUCUUUCUCCCUCCUUUUCAAACGGUAAACCGCAAUGAGACCUUGGUUCGAAAGUCACGUGGCCCGCCGGUCAGUCCAUUGUUUACAGCAAUUAAUACGACAGUGUUUAAAGUUACGCGUUAUUGUUCUUAAGAGAUAAACGUCAUCUUAACGUGUUUUUUCUUUUUUUUUCCUUAUUAUCGACAAAGUGUUUGUUGUUGUUUAACGAAUGUUCGUUAUUUUCUUCUAUUUCGAUGAGAAUAAUCAUUUGGAUUUUAAAAAAACAAGUGUUAUGCACUUUCUCGUACAACUGUUUAAUGCAAACGGUGAAUAAUCGUCCGGAACACUGUUCGAUUUCGAAUACCUCGAUAAUUCUCAUUUUUCGAAACAAACCAGUUUAUCUGUUCUUCAUAAAAAUAAAUAUUCUCGGAAACAAAUCGGAUGCACACCGGUCUCAUACCUUUUUCCAGAUAAAAAAAAGGUGCUAGAGAGAGAGAGAAAGAGAGAGACUGAGGAAAUUGCACACCGGAUGUGUGCGAAUUUGAAAGAUUAAGAGAGUAAUGACUAAUCUGCGAUAAAUUAACGAUUAUUUAGCGAGAAUAUUUAAAGAGUAUAAAUAUCGAGUAAUAUAAUAUUGUGUGAGAUUGUGAGAAGAGAAGAGAAGAGAAGAGAAGAUAA
rnacentral:lncRNA from 1 species